rnacentral:lncRNA from 10 species
GGGUAGGUAGAGCCUUCCCAGCGAGGGCAAGGGCGAGGGUGGUGAAGACACAGAAAACCCUGCCAGGUGCCUUGUGACCCUGAGAGGAGGGGGCGUACCCUGGGGGACUGGGUGCAGGGAGAGCUGCCUGUGAGGCAGCCUACAGGCCAGCCUGGGCCUUCCUCCUUCCUCCACAGAGGAUGCCUCCUGAACACUGACGGGCUGUGAGGACUCCACAUGCGUCUCUCUGAGCCACUGCAGCUCCCCUCGGGGCCGGCACCGAUGUAAACCCAUUUUGAGGGCGAGCACAUGGAUUCUCAGAGACGCUGAAUCACUCGCUCCAGGGCAUGCGGCCACUGGGGCUGAGAGCCAGGGGUGAGUCCAGGCCAGUCUGCUCAUGGUCAGCCCUGGGUGAUGGUCAGUCAGGGUCAGGGUCGGUCGGGGUCACAACCAGCCAAGGUCAUAGUCAGGGUCAUGGCCAGCCAGGAUCAGGGUUGGUUGGGGUCACGGUCAGUCAGGGUCUUGGUCAGGGUCAUGGUCAGCUGGCUGGGGUUGAAGCAAGACUUUCAGGUUCUCUCUGGUGUGCUGCAGGCCCCCAGGUGGGUUAGGAAGCCCCACCGUGGCAGAGAGACGUCCCUGGACCCUGGGGUCCAAUGCGCUUGCCGUGCAGGUGGAGGAACUGAUGCCCGGAGCAGAGAUGACCCUGCCUCUCACCAAGUCCACACUGUGCUGUCGUAGUGGGGCUGGUGGGACCUUGGUAACGCUGGGGCCCCCCAUGCCCUGCGGAUUCCUGCAUUUGUGGGGGCCAGAGGGGAAAGUGGGGCUAGUAGAACAGCUUGGACACAAGGACACUGCCCAGGAAUAACCACAUGUCUACCGUGGAAGAUUUUAAAUCCUGGGAAAUAAAUACACACCACCAAUGAAGAAACAGUCACCCACAGCCGGCCACCCCCAGUUAUACUACUACUAUUUCCAUUAUAUGUUUCCAUGUGUAUACAUUUGUCUAUGUAUCUAUGUGUCUAUCUGCCAA